rnacentral:misc_RNA from 1 species
GAUGAAGAACGUAGCCAAAUGCGAUAAGUAAUGUGAAUUGCAGAAUUCAGUGAAUCAUCGAAUCUUUGAACGCACAUUGCGCCCGCCAGUAUUCUGGCGAGCAUGCCUGUUCGAGCGUCAUUUCAACCAUCAAGCCCCAGGCUUGUGUUGGAGCCCUGCGGCUGCCGCAGCCUCCCAAAACCAGUGGCGGGCUCGCUAUCACACCGAGUGCAGUAGUUUACUCUUCGCUCAGGGCGUGUGGCGGGUGCUAGCCGUGAAACCCCCAACUUCUCAAGGUUGACCUCGGAUCAGGUAGGAAUACCCGCUGAACUUAAGCAUAUCAAUAAGCGGAGGA